UAUUCCUAUUGUUUAAAUUAUACAUUUCUUUAAAGCGUAAUAUUAUUGCUUAAUAAUAAUAAUAUCAUAAUAAUAAUUAUUAUUGUAAUACAAUUUAAUUUCAUCAUUUUAUCCAACAGUAGGGAAGAAGCCCCACUGUGCUUAAAUAGUCUUACAAAGAAUACGUUACAUUUUAAAUUUAAAUUUGAAAACAUAAAUACGUUAAACUGGUGUUGUGACCAAAACAGAGGUCGCUUGUUUUUCUUUUAUAAUCUUUUGUUGUUUUGUUUUGAUACAAAACCAGACCGAGUUGAUUUCGCUCUUGCCGAAUGUGGAAGGCUUUUUUUUGAACGUGUAUUUGUUGUUGCCAAGGUGGCACGAUAGCUUCUAUAGAUUUCUCCAGUCUUGGUCUCCAGUGGUUAUUCGCAUGCGUCAUAGGCUGCGUCAUCAAUUCGGGAUGACGCUUCGCGAAUCCCCCUUCCUGAUUCCCAGCUCUCUGGCACAUUCUGACAUUCCCCAAAAACUUCCCAUACAAGCUUUGUUAAAGUGAAGUUUCAGAUUGUCACGAAAUUGUAGAAGGUGAAGUUCUGGAACCAGAGUGCACCAUGCAGGGCGAUUACAUGGCCUGGGGAAAAUAAAUAAAGAUUAUAAUUGUUGCACGUGAUUAAAGCGUUGGCGGUAUUUCCUGGACGAACUUAUGACUAUCAGUUUCAAUUUAGGAACACAAAGCUACACAUAUACAUUUUAGAUGAUAAUCAGCAAAGGUAAGAGAUAUAAUGCACUUUAAAUAUUUUUGAGCUAUUCAAAAUUUAUAUUAAAAAUUAUUAAACUUAAUGUAUCCGAAAGGAGAACAGAUACAUCUAUAAGAAGAAGGAUUUUUUUAAGAAUUUCAGAUGAUAUAAACAUUUCACUUAACCCUAAUGAUUUGUUUACCACUGUAAAACUUAGUAAGUUGGUGUUAAGUUUAAUAAGUGGUUUCUGAUCUUUGGGAAAUUUUUCGUUGACCGUUGUAAACAGUAGAGUUUAACGGUAUAUCGAACUCGGGCAUCACCCCGGAGAAGAUACACUCUCACUCAUUGGAGCGUGCAGUCAGUAGUCUGCCACACAACAGGUUGCUGGCGGCGGCGGCUGUUUGGAGAAAGUGCUUAUUGCCAACAAUCAUAUCAGGUGCAAUGACCACAUAGCCGAGGCGGUGGUUGCUGGAAAUCAAAAAAGAAAUGCCAUGGCAACGCGACAAUAUAAGACAAGCUAACUUUAAUAUGUAACUACUGUCGAAACUUUCUUUUUGCUGUGAAGAGAAAUGAAGGCAUUGAACUUUCUGGCUUCUGGUCAAAAAAAGGAACAACGCCACAGGAGCACUUUCCCAGUCACACACAUUUCUGCGUAGGAGGUGAAAAUUGCUGCCCUUUUUUCUCAAGUCUCAAUUGAUGCCACAGAUGCAUUUCCCAGAUGCCAACAUGCUGGCAGAGGAUUAGGCCAUUGUUCAAAAUAUUUGUAUGAAACAGAUACCCAGUAGAAGUACUCCUAGAACCGAUGUUCUGCCUCACACAUAUGCUUGGAAAUAUUAUUACCAGUCACGGCGUGGGAACCGGCCCAGGGAUGUCCUAGGAUUUCUUUCGAGUACUGCAAUAUCUCCACGCAAAGGUAGAUAAUUUGGAACGCAUAUAUUAUACGGGUGGCAUCGUCACAUCCUAGGUGAAAAAUCAUUAUUUCACAUAAUGGUUUAUUGUCAGCGCCAAAUAGUGGUCACCCUGCAUUUCAUACUGGAUCUCUAGGACCUUUCAAAAAAAAAAAGUGGUCCGUCAUGAAAAUAAGUUGAAUUUGAUUUUUUGAAGAAAAAAUUAACCCCUUAUUCUCAUCUCGGACACAAAAGAAAUAAAGGUACAGGCUGCCGUACACUUUUAACCUUGUCAACCCCUAAAUGACAAUUGUUUGAGACAUCAAAAGGAUAAUUUUCAAUAAAAUAAUAUUCAAAAGUAGUAUUAUGAAAAUAGACCCUUUUUCCCCAGGUGAAGGUGUGCUUUUCCGGGCUUUUCACAAAAGGGUUAACCAAUUUCAGCAGUUUUCCCCCCAAAAAGCAAAUAAAGAAGAUCCCUAAUCCACGAUCAUGUCUUCCAAGGGGGGUGAGUUCCGGUCCAGUUUUUGUCAAGAGAUUCCUCAUUUUUCACUAUAGAUUCAAACGAACUUUGGCCCUUUUCUCCAAUUUUCUAAUUGCGCCGUUUAUUUGUCCAUUGUAUUUUUCCGCGACCCUGUUUCACCCGGAAAGGAGGGUCCUUUUGUUCUUUUGUGGCCCUAAAGUAGCUAAAAAAAACCUCUUUUAUAUUGUCAACAUUGUUACACAUUUAAAGAAGAAAACUUAUGAAAAAUUUAAUGAAAAAAUAUGCGCAUUAAAUGAAGGUAAAUUCCGCCAACAA